rnacentral:lncRNA from 1 species
GAUGCCUUAUUGGGUUGAAGUUCUUGGGCUUUCCAAUCCCUAAUUAAACCUAAUAUGGCUUGUUGAAGCUUCUUGGAUUUGGACCUUGUGAUUGGGCCUUCUUGUACUAUUAAUGGAUCUUGGAUCUCUUUAAGCUUUGAACUUGGAUUCACAUCAUUCCCCCUUUUUUCAAAAGGAUUUGUCCACAAAUCAGCUCCAUCAUCUUCAUCACCUA